rnacentral:rRNA from 1 species
GUCCUUGCCGUAAACGAUGUCGAUUAGGUGUUGGGGUGUCGAUCCCUCCAGCGCCGACGCUAACGCAUUAAAUCGACCACCUGGGGAGUACGGUCGCAAGACUGAAACUCAAAGAAAUUGACGGGGACCCGCACAAGCGGUGGAGCAUGUGGUUUAAUUCGAGGCUACGCGAAGAACCUUACCCAGGCUUGAAAAGCAGUUGAUAUCCCAUGAAAGUGGGCCUUCUCGCAAGAGACAAUUGUACAGGUGCUGCAUGGCUGUCGU